CCAAAUUCUCCCAUGCCUUCCCAUCAUAGCCUUUCUGAUGUGCCUCAGACAAGGAAUGACCUGGGGAGAGACAGAGGAUAGGAACACUUAACACCUUCCUUCAUUGUGGCUAGCCAGAGUCUGUCGACUUCUCUGAGGUUACAGAAAGUGCUUGGGGAAGAUGACUCAAUACUGUUGAGUGUAAAUCAGAACACAAAUGUUCCUCUGCUGUGCAGUGCCUUGUAAAGAAAAGAGGACACAGAGAAGACGGGAGGGAAACAUCGCCAAGUGUGAAUAACAGUUCUCUGGGGGGAAGGAUUUUGAUUCUUCUGCUGACUUAAUUUUUUUUUAGUCUUAUAAAUUCUCCAGAACGGCGCACAUUUUGAUGAUUUAAAAGGGAAAAGUAACUCUGGGAGGCAGAAGGAGGAUCACAAGUGGAGGCCCAGGCUGGGCAGCUUAGUGACUUAACAAGAUCCUGUAUCAACAUAACAGUUUUUUUUAAAGGGUUGGGGAUGUAGCUUAGUGUGAAGACCCUGGGUUCAAUCUCUAUUAGCAAGGCGGGGACAAAACUUGAAUGACACUGAAAUUGCAGGCAGGGGACUAUCAGGCAGGCAGGCAGGAGGAUGCAGUCAGCUCCCUGAGUCGUCCGGGAGCCCUCAUCCGGGGUGGUCCUGACAGUCAUCAGAGAGGUCUCAAGCUUUUGAUGCCCACAUGGGGAAGCACCCAGAGGUUCAAAUAUGAAAGUAGUAAAUCUAUCUCAGAAAGGGUCGGGACAGUUGAUCUCCUGAACUCACCAAUCCUGCUGCAGACUGGGAAGGCCCUGCAAGGAAUUCUGGGUCUUAACUGCUCAAGGGUGGCUCUCAAGCAGAUCACACACCUGCACCCCAGCUCCAAGUCCCUGUAACAUAUGAGGACCCCACAGGACAGGCCCUCGCCAUUCUCUUCAGGGACCCUUCCUCCCUCCUCAACCACAGACCACAUCUACACAGCAUUCUUUCUUCAGCAUUCUCCCCUUUUUAACCCUUCUUUUACAUCUCCCACUAUUCAUCUUAGCCAGAAAUAAAUAACAAUAGAUUAAAGAAAAAUGUUUACUUGGGAACAUUUUUAUAAUUCCCUUCUAGAUGCAUCUUUCCAUAUCACUUCUCUUAAAAACAAGCUCCUGGGGGUAUACAUGCUUUGUCCUUUAAUGAAAAGUUGACAUUUUUACUAAGCCCUGUGAUAACUAAAUUAUUCUUCAGACAGGUGCCACUGUCCUUCUUCCUAUGGUGAUGACGGGUUGACGCCUCCAGGCUCACUAACUUGAUCUGAGCGUCCCCUGCAGGAAACUGUGUCCAUACUCAGGGGUUCCUGGUUCAUCACCCAGGACAGGGGCUGCCAAGCCACACCAUUCCACCACCCAAGCACUCGAUUUCUCCAACUUCCUUAAAAAUUCAACACAUUAACAUUUUCUUUCUACUAUUUUGGCUAGUAUUUCUCUUGGCCUGAAGAGCUUCUCAACUAUAAUUUAGAACAAUACACAGUUAUUAGUGCUGACUUUAAAGUGCAUAUUUAGUCCUGGAAGCCUUUUCUGUCUGAUGAAAAUCUUGGGAUUUGUAUAAUUACUAUAUUUCUGUGAUUAAAAUAUCUCCGCUUUGGUGUUCAGGCAC